GCUGGCUUAGCUCAAUUGGUAGAGCAACUGAUUUGUAAUCAGUAGGUUGCGGGUUCAAGUCCCAUAGCCAGCACCA
rnacentral:tRNA from 1 species